AUCGAACGCUGGCGGCAGGCCUAACACAUGCAAGUCGGACGGUAGCACAGAGAGCUUGCUCUUGGGUGACGAGUGGCGGACGGGUGAGUAAUGUCUGGGGAUCUGCCCGAUAGAGGGGGAUAACCACUGGAAACGGUGGCUAAUACCGCAUAACGUCGCAAGACCAAAGAGGGGGACCUUCGGGCCUCUCACUAUCGGAUGAACCCAGAUGGGAUUAGCUAGUAGGCGGGGUAAUGGCCCACCUAGGCGACGAUCCCUAGCUGGUCUGAGAGGAUGACCAGCCACACUGGAACUGAGACACGGUCCAGACUCCUACGGGAGGCAGCAGUGGGGAAUAUUGCACAAUGGGCGCAAGCCUGAUGCAGCCAUGCCGCGUGUAUGAAGAAGGCCUUCGGGUUGUAAAGUACUUUCAGCGGGGAGGAAGGCGAUAAGGUUAAUAACCUUGUCGAUUGACGUUACCCGCAGAAGAAGCACCGGCUAACUCCGUGCCAGCCGCCGCAGUAA
rnacentral:rRNA from 1 species